ACAGCAGUCGCCGCGGUAAUACGAAGGGUGCAAGCGUUAAUCGGAAUUACUGGGCGUAAAGCGUGCGUAGGCGGUGAGUUAAGUCUGCUGUGAAAUCCCCGGGCUCAACCUGGGAAUGGCAGUGGAUACUGGCUCGCUAGAGUGUGUCAGAGGAUGGUGGAAUUCCCGGUGUAGCGGUGAAAUGCGUAGAGAUCGGGAGGAACAUCAGUGGCGAAGGCGGCCAUCUGGGACAACACUGACGCUGAGGCACGAAAGCGUGGGGAGCAAACAGGAUUAGAUACCCGGGUAGUCCCUGUCUCUUAUAC
rnacentral:rRNA from 1 species